UGGGGAAUCUUAGACAAUGGGGGAAACCCUGAUCUAGCCAUGCCGCGUGAUCGAUGAAGGCCUUAGGGUUGUAAAGAUCUUUCAGGUGGGAAGAUAAUGACUGUACCACCAGAAGAAGCCCCGGCUAACUCCGUGCCAGCAGCCGCGGUAAUACGGAGGGGGCUAGCGUUAUUCGGAAUUACUGGGCGUAAAGCGCACGUAGGCGGACUGGAAAGUCAGAGGUGAAAUCCCAGGGCUCAACCUUGGAACUGCCUUUGAAACUCUCAGUCUUGAGGUCGAGAGAGGUGAGUGGAAUUCCGAGUGUAGAGGUGAAAUUCGUAGAUAUUCGGAGGAACACCAGUGGCGAAGGCGGCUCACUGGCUCGAUACUGACGCUGAGGUGCGAAAGCGUGGGGAGCAAACA
rnacentral:rRNA from 2 species